rnacentral:piRNA from 1 species
AGACGUAGGCUGUCUUCACUGAGAGC